rnacentral:rRNA from 1 species
UGCAGUCGACGGCAGCGGGUGUAGCAAUACAUGCCGGCGAGUGGCGCACGGGUGCGUAACGCGUAUGCAAUCUACCUGUAACUGGGGAAUAGCCUUCCGAAAGGAAGAUUAAUACCGCAUAACAUCAUGAAAUGGCAUCAUUUUAUGAUCAAACUUCAGAGGGUUACAGAUGAGCAUGCGUGACAUUAGCUAGUUGGUGAGGUAACGGCUCACCAAGGCUACGAUGUCUGGGGGGUCUGAGAGGAUGAUCCCCCACACUGGUACUGAGACACGGACCAGACUCCUACGGGAGGCAGCAGUAAGGAAUAUUGGACAAUGGCCGCAAGGCUGAUCCAGCCAUGCCGCGUGCAGGAAGAAGGUGCUAUGCAUUGUAAACUGCUUUUGUCCCGGAAUAAACCCCUCUACGUGUAGAGGGCUGAAUGUACGGGAAGAAUAAGGGACGGCUAACUUCGUGCCAGCAGCCGCGGUAAUACGAAGGUCCCAAGCGUUAUCCGGAUUUAUUGGGUUUAAAGGGUGCGUAGGCGGAUUAUUAAGUCAGUGGUGAAAGCCUUCAGCUUAACUGAAGAACUGCCAUUGAUACUGAUGAUCUUGAGUAUGAUUGAGGCGGGCGGAAUGUGUCAUGUAGCGGUGAAAUGCUUAGAUAUGACACAGAACACCGAUUGCGAAGGCAGCUCGCUAAGCCAUAACUGACGCUGAUGCACGAAAGCGUGGGGAGCAAACAGGAUUAGAUACCCUGGUAGCCCACGCCCUAA